AUUGAACGCUGGCGGCAUGCUUUACACAUGCAAGUCGAACGGUAACAGGCCGCCAGGUGCUGCCGAGUGGCGAACGGGUGAGUAAUGCAUCGGAACGUGCCCAGUCUUGGGGGAUAACUACUCGGAAGAGUAGCUAAUACCGCAUACGAUCUAUGGAUGAGAGCGGGGGACCGUAAGGCCUCGCGCGAUUGGAGCGGCCGAUGUCAGAGUAGGUAGUUGGUGGGGUAAAGGCUCACCAAGCCAACGAUCUGUAGCUGGUCUGAGAGGACGACCAGCCACACUGGGACUGAGCCACGGCCCAGACUCCUACGGGAGGCAGCAGUGGGGAAUUUUGGACAAGGGGCGCAAGCCUGAUCCAGCAAUGCCGCGUGCAGGAAGAAGGCCUUCGGGUUGUAAACUGCUUUUGUACGGAACGAAACGGCUCUGGUUAAUACCCGGGGCUAAUGACGGUACCGUAAGAAUAAGCACCGGCUAACUACGU
rnacentral:rRNA from 1 species